UCGGGAAUUUUGGGCAAUGGGCGAAAGCCUGACCCAGCAACGCCGCGUGAGGGAUAAAGUAUUUCGGUAUGUAAACCUCGAAAGAAUGGGAAGAAUAAAUGACGGUACCAUUUAUAAGCUCCGGCUAACUACGUGCCAGCAGCCGUGGUAAUACGUAGGGAGCAAGCGUUGUUCGGAUUUACUGGGCGUAAAGGGCGCGUAGGCGGCGCGGUAAGUCACUUGUGAAAUCUCUGAGCUUAACUCAGAACGGCCAAGUGAUACUGCUGUGCUAGAGUGCGGAAGAGGCAACCGGAAUUCUUGGUGUAGCGGUGAAAUGCGUAGAUAUCAAGAGGAACACCUGAGGCGAAGGCGGGUUGCUGGGCCGACACUGACGCUGAUGCGCGAAAGCCAGGGGAGCAAACG
rnacentral:rRNA from 1 species